AGAGUUUGAUCCUGGCUCAGAAUGAACGCUGGCGGCGUGCCUAACACAUGUAAGUCGGAUGUGCCCGCAAGGGUGCAUGGCAGACGGGUGAGUAACGCGUGGGGAAUCUACCUCUUUGUGGGGAAUAACGCUCCGAAAGGAGUGGUAAUACCGCAUGAGAUCCAUGGCUGGAAUGUUGUGGAUGAAACCUGGGGACCUUCGGGCCUGGGGCAAGGAGAGGAUCCUGCGUCUGAUUAGCUAGUUGGUGAGGUAACGGCCCACCAAGGCAACGAUCAGUAGCCGGCCUGAGAGGGUGAUCGGCCACACUGGAACUGAGACACGGUCCAGACUCCUACGGGAGGCAGCAGUGGGGAAUUUUGCGCAAUGGGCGAAAGCCUGACGCAGCAACGCCGCGUGGGUGAUGAAGGUCUU
rnacentral:rRNA from 1 species